AGCAAGACCUCUGCAAAGCAAGAAUAUAUGUACAGAUUAUCUCUAAGAGAAUGCAUAAGAAACUGGUCCAGGGACAGCUGAAGGGAUCAGAUCCAAUGACAGCAAACAAUUAAUGAUUGAUUCGGAAUGCUAUUUUAUGAGGAUGGCAUUUCAUAUCUCUCCUACUCAAGACCAUUCUAGAAGUAAGUAACAUCACCAUUUCACUGUUGCAACUGACUCAGAAGCUCAUUCAAGGCCACAAAUCAAGGAAAGGACUACAACACAGAAAAGCAAAAUGAAGAAAACUUAACAAAGAAAAACAGCUGUAUCCCACCUGCCAAUAGCAAGCAGGGCUAACAUGUAGGUGAGCUGAACUGCCCGGGCCCUGAAGCCCUGACUUCAGCCCUUAGUAUUAUCUGUCACUUCAGAAGCACUCGCACUGUUUUCCUCAUUAUUUCUAACUGCAAACACACUGGAGGCAACCCCACUUACACAGGAGGCUGGACACAGGCAGAGGUGGCAACGGUUCCUGGACCAUCUACAUCAUCCUGAAUACUUGAGAAUCAAUCAGUGCCUUGCUUAGCCUUCUCUAGGAAUUCUCUGGCUACCACAGAUUCGCAGGGGAAGGAGGGUCAGAAAGAAUGCCUGACUCAAGAAAGGAUCUUAACCAAACCACCCUACAUAUCCAGAAGGGAGGUGUCAGUCUCUGAAACCCCCAUUGAGGAAAAAUUGAGGAACAACCAAUGUCCCCGUGUUAAAUCUCCAUGUAUGUAUGUAUACAGGGGUAUACACUUCUGUAUUUAUACACAAAAUUGAGGUUAUCUUUGGGUGAGUUAUGACAUACUGAUUUUCCAAAUAUCUGGUAUAUAUUUUCCAAUUUUUAAAACACAAAUUAAAAAAAACAAGUUUUACUUUUAUAACCAGAAAAUAAAUGUGCUUUUGCCAUUUGGC